UACGCGAGGAAGUCAAAUAGGGGCACCGGACGUGUUCGGUGUGCACUGGACUGGUGCACCACUCUAUUCUACCAUAGAGGUUGCAAAUCGGUUGAAAACCGUGCUAACCUCGGUGAGCAGCGAACAGGCUCACGGGACAUGGAACAGUGCCAAUUGGAAUUUGACUAGGCUUGUCCGGUUUGAAAAAAAAGGGAUAUUCACUGGACAGAAGUUGGAACGUGAUUCUGGGCUAGUCCUUCUGGAGACGGCUGCGUGCGUGCGAGCAGCACCGGGCAUUUGGGGCUCCCCCACUGCUUGAUCUGCUGCAGUUGAUGGACAGAAGACGCCUAGCACCUGCUCGACGAAGUGCCUCCAAGCAGCUUGUGCCCAUCUUUUUUUUCUCUGUUUCUAUCUGUACAACAGUGACAAUCAUCAGUUCAUGUCUUUCCUCAUUUUCAAAUAGCAGCAGCUGGACAGGGUAAGCAGGUAGCUGCUGCUUUCUAAUAGAGUUUGUGUAGCAAACUUUGAUGAUGGAGUGGUGCUUUGGUGGCUGCUGGGUACUAUCAAGUGGUGUUCUAUAUGUUUUAAUUAUGUUGUAUGAGAAGUGAAGGUUGUAUUGUGUUCCAGAAUAUAUAUGUGUUGAUCUGGACUUAUUUUGUUGCCGAUGAUGUGAACAUGUGUUAAUUAAUGAUUGGUAAUUAAUUUGCUGAA